rnacentral:lncRNA from 1 species
AGCACAUAAAGCCAUGAAGGCAGGCAAAUGCCGAGGCCAAGGCCUGGCCAAACUACCUUUUGCUUCCCGGGCUUGUCCACAGCUGGAGAGGCAGAGCCCGGGCUGUGUCUGUCACUCUCGGUGACAAGGCUGCACUGUGUGUGCCUGGGACUGCAAGGCCAUGGGAUCUCCCCUUUGUCCCUGCUUCAACUCCCAGCCCCUGGCCCUAAGCACAAGUGCGUCAGAGGCGUGUUUUCUUCUGAACCCAGCUGGGACAAGGUCAUCCGAGGGGAGGUUCCCUGUGCACAAGUUCAGUGCUCCUUGACCAGGAACUCGGCCAAAGGGCACAGGCUCACCCACCCCCUAGCUGCCUUCCCACCCAGACACAUGAGAAAAUGUCCCGUUAGCCCUUCCAGUCAUGCGAAUGAGGCCACGAUUGAUUCAAAGGCAGUGGGCAAGGAGGAGGCCGCAUGGAGCAGUCAGAAAGAACCAGCCCUUUGUGCUGCAGCAGGGUCCUUGGGGGCUACGCAAGUCUCAUUAACUUGCUUACACUGGAUUUGAACUUACUCUCUGUUGCCUGGGAGGUCUUGAACCUGUGAUGCCUCCUACCUACCUCAGCUUCCUGAGAAACUGGGAUCACAGGCCUAAUUGCCAGGCAUGGCCAAAUUGUGUGUGUGUGUGUAUCUCUCUCUCUCUCUCUCUCUCUCUCUCUCUCUCUCUCUCUGUGUGUGUGUGUGUGUGUAUGUGUGUGUAUGAGAGAGAGAGCAUGCGCAAUGCAUAGACUCAUGCACACACACAUAUACGCGUAUACACAUAUGUGUGCACAUGCAGAUAAAAGGCUGACACUGAACAUCUGUCUUAUUUACCUAUUUUUCUGAUGCAGAGUCUUUCACUGUAUCUGGAGCACACUGAUUCAUUGAGAUGCCUCAUCAGGAUGCUCCCAGCAUUCCUGUUUCCAUUUCCCUAGCCUUGGGAUUACACGUACACGCUGUUUGCACUCAAUGUUUGACCUGGGAGCUGGUCAAAAGGUUUCAUGCUUGUAUGCUUAAGUUGUUUACUGGUCUAGCCUUCUCUCUAGAUCCUUUGCUUUCAUUUUACACGUGGGGAAACCGAGGCUGCGUGGGGCAUCGUAACAGCUAGCACAGAGAAACUCUUGCUGUCCUGGACAUGCUAAGUCUCUACAAGGGUGAGCCUAUUUAAUCUGCACAACCAGGUGAGGCAGGUUCUAGCAUUAUUCCCCUUCACAGGUCAGCGUGUAAAGCCCCGCUGAUUCCUAACUGGGGGGCAUUCCCCAAAAGCUGAGAAACAAUGGGCUGGAUGUGAGACCCAGUCUCAGAGGACUGAGUCUUAAAAGGGGGAGAUACACCUCCCAUGUUCUA